AAUUUUGACACAAGGUUUAUGACCACAAAAGAACGGUUGGGAUUGAUUUUGGGAGUUUUGGUCUCAACAGUUUAGGAAUUAGGGGCCAAAAAAGGGCCCAAAUAAGCAUUAUUCUUGGUUUUCGCACAAUAACAUUAGUUUAAGUAAAUAGAAAUCAAUGAAAUUUAAACACAAUGUUAAUGACUACAAAAGGAAGGUUGGUAUUGAUUUUGGCAGUUUAGGUCCCAACAGUUUAGGAAUUAGGGGCCAAAAAGGGACCCAAAUAAGCAUUUUUCUUGGUUUUCGCACCA
rnacentral:lncRNA from 1 species